UUCAGGAGAAGCAGAAGCUGGAAGAACGUAUUUCAAAGCUUAUAUAUGAGAAUAGUGUGUUGGUGGAUAAUAAACAACUGGAAAAUGUGCGGCCAAGAAAGACAGUAUUGUCAAAACAAGGAAGCAUUGAUCUUCCUGUGCCAUACACUUAUAAAGACUCCUUCCAUUUUGAGAUAAGGAGCAGCAAGCACACCUCAAGCUCACAAAAUCAAGACAGAGGAAGUGGGGGAAUUCACAACUCUGUGCCUACACAGCACUCCACUGGCCUGGAGCAUGCACCAUUAACACGAAGCAGUUCUUUACCCUUCACUAUGGGUGGCAAACCCACUGAUGGAGCAAUGAAUCUGAAUCUUAGCAGAAGGUGUAGUGCAGGGCAUGCUUAUCCAUUACGGUCAUCAGACCAACAAGCACCAGGUCAUCACUCACUAGUUAGGCAGGUAGCGGUAGAUUGUCUGCCUACUGCAGAGGGAUCCCCGGCUGAAAGAGGUAGUAUUAGCAGCCUUAGCUCUGAUGGAGACAGCACUGAUGUCGGAAAAGAGACAAUUAUAAAAGGAAGCUACAGGAAAAAAGCCAGAAAAUUUGACUACACAAAAUGGCACACUUACAAAGGUGGAACAUUUACGAAACUCUACAAUACUGAGAAAGACUGUCUACUGAAGACGAAAAAAACUACACUGAACUCUGAACAAAGCCUGGAAAUUCAAACUAGUCAACAGAGGGACAAUGGAUCUGUGUCUCUGAGCUUUACGUCCUGUUCUGUUGUGACCUUACAAAAUGACCUUAAAAUGUCAUAUACCAGCUUUGAAAAUAAUAAGGGGGAAGACAUGGAGAGGGAUGAAAUAAUAACACAACACACUGAUUUCCAUAUCCCAUCAGAAAGGAAAAAACAGCGCACUGGGAAUGAUGUGCAAAUGCUCAGUAUUUCAGAUCCUAGAACUGGAGGGGCAAAUGGAAAUCUGCGUGGUUUAAUUAAUCAGUUACCCCUGUCAACUUGUGCAAUGCACGGUUCCAUCACAGUACCAGCACAAAAGGUCAACAUGCAAAAUCUCCACCCGCAGGUGGUUCUCAAUCAGUUCUCAAAUUCAAGUCAGCUCCUUGGUAAUACUCUUAGCCCAGCUGUUUGUUUUAUCAAUGUGAGUGGGACAUCUGGAACCCCGUCUGGUUCUAUCAGCAGCCCUACUGUCCCUGUUGCCAAGACCAGCUUUCCUCCCAAGUACCAGCUAAAGAUUCCGUGUUCCACAGAUGGAGUGUCGGCUUCUUGUUCUGGCUCCACUUUAACACA
rnacentral:lncRNA from 1 species